UACGAAGGGGGCUAGCGUUGUUCGGAUUUACUGGGCGUAAAGCGCACGUAGGCGGAUCUUUAAGUCAGAGGUGAAAUCCCAAGGCUCAACCUUGGAACUGCCUUUGAUACUGGGGAUCUUGAGUCCGGGAGAGGUGAGUGGAACUGCGAGUGUAGAGGUGAAAUGCGUAGAUAUCGAGAGGAACACCUGCGGCGAAGGCGGGUUGCUGGGCCGACACUGACGCUGAUGCGCGAAAGCCAGGGGAGCGAACGGG
rnacentral:rRNA from 1 species